rnacentral:lncRNA from 1 species
UUCACCAAAUUUUUUUUUCUGAACCAAUUUUGAGAGUUUUUGGACCGUUUCUUUGUUUUUUGUUUUGAGGAGCAGGAGACAACUUGGAUUUUUUUAACUUUUGGAAUUUUAGGGAUAUUUUCAGCAAAGUCGUCAUCUACACAUACCGCUUUCCCCUUUUUUUUGAGUUGUUUGCCGCUUGGUAUAGCGCUUCUUCCAGCAUCUACAUCGUGCAUUUGAUUUGUUUUCAUCUCGGCACGGAUUUGUCUAGGAUAUGAACUGUGAGUACUAGGUUCCAUUGCAUGUGUAGAUUUUAGUUUUUUUAUGGUGAUUUUGGUGUUAAAAGACCCAAAACGAAAGAGGGGAUAUCACAUAUUGUAGAUUUUUUUAGGUAUUUCUUUUGGGAGAUUUGAUGUUCUUCAUGGUUUAACUUCAACUCGACUAAAGAUGGGAACGAAUUU